rnacentral:ncRNA from 1 species
UAUUAUCCGUUAACUAAUAGCGGCUUUUGGUAGAGAUACCAAUUGAAAAACCCUUUUAAUUGCUGGGAACCCCUAUUGUAAAUUUAUCUGUUAUAUUAUUGAUGAAUACAUACAUUCAGGUUAUUCUCUAACUAUCAAUGGAUGGAAAGGAGAAUAGCUGAUAGGGCAAUCAGCAGCGAAGCCUUUAUCUAGCGAUAACAUGUACGGAAGUAUUAGACACCGAAAGCUGUAUAAACAGUGGUGGGUGCGAUACGUAGAUAAAGGAACGUUCAACGACUAUCCCAAUGGCGGUGAAAUUCCGCAAUAGGAGUAGGGCCAAGCGGUGGGUGAGAAUCCCUUAAAUCGAAAUGGAGGGCUACCUGAGAAGGUAGAUGAUAUAGUCUCUUCUUACAGGAAACUGUAAG